rnacentral:rRNA from 1 species
AGAGUUUGAUCAUGGCUCAGAUUGAACGCUGGCGGCAGGCCUAACACAUGCAAGUCGAACGGUAACAGGAAGCAGCUUGCUGCUUCGCUGACGAGUGGCGGACGGGUGAGUAAUGUCUGGGAAGCUGCCUGAUGGAGGGGGAUAACUACUGGAAACGGUAGCUAAUACCGCAUAAUGUCGCAAGACCAAAGAGGGGGACCUUCGGGCCUCUUGCCAUCGGAUGUGCCCAGAUGGGAUUAGCUUGUUGGUGGGGUAACGGCUCACCAAGGCGACGAUCCCUAGCUGGUCUGAGAGGAUGACCAGCCACACUGGAACUGAGACACGGUCCAGACUCCUACGGGAGGCAGCAGUGGGGAAUAUUGCACAAUGGGCGCAAGCCUGAUGCAGCCAUGCCGCGUGUAUGAAGAAGGCCUUCGGGUUGUAAAGUACUUUCAGCGGGGAGGAAGGGAGUAAAGUUAAUACCUUUGCUCAUUGACGUUACCCGCAGAAGAAGCACCGGCUAACUCCGUGCCAGCAGCCGCGGUAAUACGGAGGGUGCAAGCGUUAAUCGGAAUUACUGGGCGUAAAGCGCACGCAGGCGGUUUGUUAAGUCAGAUGUGAAAUCCCCGGGCUCAACCUGGGAACUGCAUCUGAUACUGGCAAGCUUGAGUCUCGUAGAGGGGGGUAGAAUUCCAGGUGUAGCGGUGAAAUGCGUAGAGAUCUGGAGGAAUACCGGUGGCGAAGGCGGCCCCCUGGACGAAGACUGACGCUCAGGUGCGAAAGCGUGGGGAGCAAACAGGAUUAGAUACCCUGGUAGUCCACGCCGUAAACGAUGUCGACUUGGAGGUUGUGCCCUUGAGGCGUGGCUUCCGGAGCUAACGCGUUAAGUCGACCGCCUGGGGAGUACGGCCGCAAGGUUAAAACUCAAAUGAAUUGACGGGGGCCCGCACAAGCGGUGGAGCAUGUGGUUUAAUUCGAUGCAACGCGAAGAACCUUACCUGGUCUUGACAUCCACGGAAGUUUUCAGAGAUGAGAAUGUGCCUUCGGGAACCGUGAGACAGGUGCUGCAUGGCUGUCGUCAGCUCGUGUUGUGAAGUGUUGGGUUAAGUCCCGCAACGAGCGCAACCCUUAUCCUUUGUUGCCAGCGGUCCGGCCGGGAACUCAAAGGAGACUGCCAGUGAUAAACUGGAGGAAGGUGGGGAUGACGUCAAGUCAUCAUGGCCCUUACGACCAGGGCUACACACGUGCUACAAUGGCGCAUACAAAGAGAAGCGACCUCGCGAGAGCAAGCGGACCUCAUAAAGUGCGUCGUAGUCCGGAUUGGAGUCUGCAACUCGACUCCAUGAAGUCGGAAUCGCUAGUAAUCGUGGAUCAGAAUGCCACGGUGAAUACGUUCCCGGGCCUUGUACACACCGCCCGUCACACCAUGGGAGUGGGUUGCAAAAGAAGUAGGUAGCUUAACCUUCGGGAGGGCGCUUACCACUUUGUGAUUCAUGACUAGGGUGAAGUCGUAACAAGGUA